AUGCUUCCGUGCAACAUAUUGAAUUGUACGUCAAAUUGUUCCAUUGAAGACCAGUUGAAUAGAGAAGGCGGGAGCAUACCAGAGAGGUUGUUUCCGAAAAGAACGAAGAUCCGCGUGCUCUGGGUGCUUCCAAACCCCGAUGGGAUUGAGCCAGUAAGCUGGUUUGUGCUGAGUUCGAGAGCUUCCAGACGGGACAGAUUCGCCAGUGAUGCCGGGAUGGGCCCUGUGAAGAUGUUGUUUGUCAGGGAGAGCACAGCCAGGGACGUGAGCUUGACGCCGAGCUCAGCCGGGAUGUGCCCGCCAAGAGUGUUGUUGCCCAGUAGCAUUAUGGUCAUGCCGACACAGGAGCUCAGGUUGGCAGGUAACGUGCCGGAGAAGGAGUUGUCAUUGAGGAUGAGAUUCUUCAGGCGGCGGAGGCUGCCGAGGCUUGCGGGAAUGUCACCGUGGAGCGAGUUGAAGCUCAGGUCAAGUUCCCGCAGGAACGUGAGAUUCCCAAUGGCCGGGGAGAGUGGUCCGGUGAGCCUGGUGCCGUUCAAUAUCAGUGCCACCACCCGUGCCGGCCUUCAAGGGAUGCAGAUCACGCCUUCCCAGCUGCAGAAGCUGGUGCUGCUGUUCCAGGAGGCCAGUGAGCCGCCGUCGUUGAGCUGCGCUUUGAAAGCAAGCAACGCGGCCUCGUCGCUAGCGGUGACCAUGGCGGCCGUCAGGAUGGCUAGAAAUGAGCAUAGCCAGCCCAUGACCCCGUUUGCCAUUGCUAUGCCCCUCUUGGUUCUCUUGGUUUGGUUGGCCGCUCCGUAUAUAAUAUGCUUGUGGCCUCGCCUUGUGCGUGUUGCAAGGGCAGAGCGUCACUGGGCCCUCAUUUCCUGGAAAUAA
rnacentral:rRNA from 1 species